GUUUUUUGUGUUUUCUUUUCUUUUUCCUUUUCCUUUCCUUUCCUUUCCUUUUCUUUUCUUUUCCAUUUCCUCCUAUUUGUGCU
rnacentral:ribozyme from 14 species